rnacentral:rRNA from 1 species
AGCGAACGCUGGCGGCAGGCCUAACACAUGCAAGUCGAACGAACUCUUCGGAGUUAGUGGCGGACGGGUGAGUAACACGUGGGAACGUGCCUUUAGGUUCGGAAUAACUCAGGGAAACUUGUGCUAAUACCGAAUGUGCCCUUCGGGGGAAAGAUUUAUCGCCUUUAGAGCGGCCCGCGUCUGAUUAGCUAGUUGGGGAGGUAAAGGCUCACCAAGGCGACGAUCAGUAGCUGGUCUGAGAGGAUGAUCAGCCACAUUGGGACUGAGACACGGCCCAAACUCCUACGGGAGGCAGCAGUGGGGAAUCUUGCGCAAUGGGGGAAAGGCUGACGCAGCCAUGCCGCGUGAAUUAUGAAGGUCUUAGGAUUGUAAAAUUCUUUCACCGGGGACGAUAAUGACGGUACCCGGAGAAGAAGCCCCGGCUAACUUCGUG